UUUUUUUUUUUUUUUUUUUUUUUUUUAUUUUUUUAUUUUUUUUUUUUUUACAUUUUACUCGAGAGAGAUCCGUUAUAUCCUGCCACAAAACGAAAAAAGCCAGGCGGCUUAGACGACACAACAUCAUACGAUAGUAGAGGAAGUUUAACUUUUUGAGUU
rnacentral:ribozyme from 16 species